CUCCAGUAUUGCAGCUGUCAGUAUUCCAGCAGUCUGUGUAUCACAAAGUUGUACAUCUCACUGUUUGUGGAAUUUCUUUUCUAAUGAUGAUAGUAUUUUAGUGACUUGACUUUUGUAGAUAUUAAUGGAAGUAGGUCUUGAGGAGUUUGGGUUUUUUUAAGCUUAAGUAGAGGUGCAUGACUUUUGAAGGGCAAGAAUUACUGAUAUUCUGCUAAAUUGGGUGAAUUGUGCACUCUUCUUUUUAACGAGAAGUGAAUGGAAGAUAUGGCAAACGAAGUACGUAUCACGCAUGAAGUUUUGGCUUGCUUAGAAUUGUGUGAUGAGUUCAUAAUGUGUUCUGUGCCUUUCCUAAUAAAGAUUGUAGCCCUUAAAUGCUCUGAGGGAUAGGCUACCUCCAGAAGAAUUUUUAAAAGAGUUUUUUAAAAAGUGUGUAUACUUGCAAUCAAAAUAAUCAGACCAGUGAAAUAAUGAUAGUGCCUGCGUUCUAUAAAAAUGCAGCUAUCAGUGACUACCAUAUUUUCCUGUAAUAGUUGGGGUUAGGUAGAUACUAGUUUUGAGUAAGAAAAGUUUUGAGGCGGCUGUUGAAGGGAUCAAGAUAGAAUUGAAGUGAUUCUGAAGUAUAACGUAUAUAACAUUCUUUUUGAAGUUGUGAAAAAAAACUUUGAGAGAGUUUUCUUACACACUGUAAACAGGAGCUUUAUGCAGUCUUUUGAUUGUCAGGGUGCAGAUUCUCAUUAAGGCUCUACUAGAAGAAAAUACAGUUUGAGUAGACUAUUUGUAGAUUCUGUUGUAUAGUGAAUGCAUUUUUACUUUUGUCUUGUGAAUGUCUUUGAGGGAGCCAGGCACUUUAGCUUGCUGCUUUUGCAGACAGCCAUAUCCUGUCUUGAACCACAGGAUCGAGGAUGUUACCCUCAGUCGUUUGUUCUUAGCAUCCUGAUGAGUCAGUAUUGACUGUCCAUGGUACGAACUGUCUGUGAGGGUUGGUAUUUCUACACCUGAUCGCUAUUGUGAAUAGUGAGGCGCUUGUACCUUCUGAGCAAGUUUACAAUACCUUGUUUUAUUCUUACGGGCUUUCUUGCAGUAGGAACAAUCAGCAACACUGCUGUUUCAAUGACGAUGAAUUUAACUUCUCCAUAAAUAUUGUCUUGAACUUAUCUUAAGGUUUUUCUUUCUCGGGGAUUUAAAGAAGUUAAAAAGUUUUGAGAAAAUAGUAGAAUUUUAAUGCCAGUGUCAUCAUAACUAAAACCAAACAAACAUACAGCUUUGAGAGCUUGACAGCAUCCUUAAAAAUUCUCUUGUUAGCAGUUAAAGCGUAUUUCUCUGUUAGCUAACUGUCUUGUACCAGAUUCAAGCUUCUGACAUCUCAAAUUUUAUUUCUUAAAUUUUGUUUAAAUCUUAACUAUGUUCCCAGGUGCUAUUCAGAAAGGGUGGGGGGGUGUGUAGAAUUUCAACUUCUGCUGCCCUUAGUAGCCAAUAUGUAUAAAUGGUUUUUGCUAACAGCAAUUUUGAAUUAGCAGAAAUUAAUGCCAUACAACCAAAGGAAGCUAAUUUCACUGUCUCCCAACUUAGGAAAUUAUGUAAUGCUUUGAGAUAAAGAUGUCAUGCAGAGCUUUUUUCUUUCUCUUUUUUUCGUUGAGUUACUUGCAUAUAUGUUACUUGCACUGAAUUCUUUAGCUUCUUUCCUGUAAAUUUUAGUGGAAGAAAAUACAUUUUGCUCUUUCAUUUGUAAAGUCUAGAAUAAGAAAACACACUUUAUGAGACUGUUUAAAUGAAGGAACCUGGCAAUGUAAGUAUUGUGAUUUCCUUUAUGUUUGUGGUAGGCAACAGGAUUACCUUGUUAAACUUCUGGCUUAUGUAUGAAAAAUAUCAGAAAAGUAAGGGCAAAUUGAAAGUAGUUUUAUAGUUGCCUUUACUUCAUAUGCUUUUCUUAAGCAACAAAUUGCAGUAAUUGAAGUUUGGCAGCUUUUUUAAUGAAAAACUAAAUUAUGGGUUAAACUCCUUGGUUUAAUACAAUUUGUGUUUCUGUUAACUAGCAGCAGAAUUUCAGCAUUUGCUACUUACUGGUAGAGAAGAAAAAUUCCACAGCACUGCCAGUACAGUUUUUGGCUGUGCCCAGGUCUUGGCCAGAGUUGGAAAAGCAAAUCAGACCUUGCUACUGUUAGAACUACAUCUUCAGGUGUCUGCAGCCCGGCCAGCUCCAUCCCUGCAGCUCAUGGUGGUACAACAGCGACACAGCCUCUGAAUUCAAGUGUAAAAGGAGCAGUCACCAGCGCAGCCAGCAUAAAAGGCAGUUGUGGGGCUCUCUGCAAGCUCCCUGCAAUAUCUGAAAGUACAAGGGUUGUAACUGAGGGAAGGUGACGAGCACUCACUCCCCAGGACCUUGGCAGGAGUAAGGUUGUGGAUUCUAUCACCUCAAACACUCACAAAGCUAGGAGAGACUGCAUGCAAGAUUUGAAGAAUGUCUACAGGAGUCCUUAGACCUGAAAGGAUAGAGAAGGCUUCGAUCAUCACAGGGUGGUUAUUUUGCAUCUAAGAGCAGAAGAAAACUUUUCAGAAUCA